rnacentral:rRNA from 1 species
GACGAACGCUGGCGGCGCGCCUAACACAUGCAAGUCGAACGAGCGAGAGAGAGCUUGCUUUCUCAAGCGAGUGGCGAACGGGUGAGUAACGCGUGAGGAACCUGCCUCAAAGAGGGGGACAACAGUUGGAAACGACUGCUAAUACCGCAUAAGCCCACGACCCGGCAUCGGGUAGAGGGAAAAGGAGCAAUCCGCUUUGAGAUGGCCUCGCGUCCGAUUAGCUAGUUGGUGAGGUAACGGCCCACCAAGGCGACGAUCGGUAGCCGGACUGAGAGGUUGAACGGCCACAUUGGGACUGAGACACGGCCCAGACUCCUACGGGAAGCAGCAGUGGGGAAUAUUGCACAAUGGGGGAAACCCUGAUGCAGCGACGCCGCGUGGAGGAAGAGGGUCUUCGGAUUGUAAACUCCUGUUGUUGAGGAAGAUAAUGACGGUACUCAACAAGGAAGUGACGGCUAACUACGUG